UUCGGUUCUAGCGGCGGACGGGUGAGUAACGCGUGGGAACGUGCCCUUUGCUACGGAAUAGUCCCGGGAAACUGGGUUUAAUACCGUAUGUGCCCCUUGGCCUUGGCGGUCUUGGGGGAAAGAUUUAUCGGCAAAGGAUCGGCCCGCGUUGGAUUAGGUAGUUGGUGGGGUAAUGGCUCACCAAGCCGACGAUCCAUAGCUGGUUUGAGAGGAUGAUCAGCCACACUGGGACUGAGACACGGCCCAGACUCCUACGGGAGGCAGCAGUGGGGAAUCUUAGACAAUGGGGGCAACCCUGAUCUAGCCAUGCCGCGUGAGUGAUGAAGGCCUUAGGGUUGUAAAGCUCUUUCAGCUGGGAAGAUAAUGACGGUACCAGCAGAAGAAGCCCCGGCUAACUCCGUGCCAGCAGCCGCGGUAAUACGGAGGGGGCUAGCGUUGUUCGGAAUUACUGGGCGUAAAGCGCACGUAGGCGGACUGGAAAGUCAGAGGUGAAAUCCCAGGGCUCAACCUUGGAACUGCCUUUGAAAC
rnacentral:rRNA from 1 species